ACUACAAGAAUUUUCAUAAUGCAAUCACACACAAUCACAAUGUGAUUGCAUUAUGAAAAUUCUUGCAGUGUG
rnacentral:miRNA from 1 species